rnacentral:tRNA from 7 species
GCCCGGGUGGUGAAAUCGGUAGACACAAGGGAUUUAAAAUCCCUCGAGGGAAACCUCGUGCCGGUUCAAGUCCGGCCCCGGGCACCA